rnacentral:tRNA from 1 species
CCGACCUUAGCUCAGUUGGUAGAGCGGAGGACUGUAGUCGGUUGUUUAUAGAAUAGGUGAUCCUUAGGUCGCUGGUUCGAAUCGGGCAGGUUGGA